ensembl:lncRNA
UGGAGGAGGCUGGGGAGGGUGGGGAGGGUGGAGGAGGGCUUUCCCGACUAUGAUGCCGGGACGUACGUGGACAGGCAGGAGAGGGAGGCUACAUGAAUAGAGAAGACAAGAGCAGUAUGGAGCCAAUUAGUGAAUAAAAAGAGGAGCGGGGGGAGAAAUAAGGGGAGAAAUAAGGGGAGUAUCCACGGCGAUGGAGAAAACACGGUUACAGAAAUAGACGCAGGAAAAAGUGUAAGGCGGUAAAAUCAUGGCAGGAGGGAGAAAGUCAAAAAGAUGAACAGGUGAGAGAUGCUGGCUCACGCGGAAUAAGUGAUGGAUAGAAGUAGAACAGCAAAAGUUAAGAGAGAGACGGCGGAGUGAGACAUUUUGCAGACAUAUAGGAAGAAAGCAAGCAGGAGAAGUCAUGCAGGCAGGCGCUAAGAAGCCAGAGUGCUGAGGGUGUGUGUUGCCGGUCUCAGGAGAGGCAGGCAGGGGACUGAGUGCUAGCGAUUUUCUGUCAUAUCUCUCUUUCUCUUCAUCCCUCACGCCUGUUAUCCUCCUCCUCCUCCUCCUCCUCACCGACCCUGCAGCACAUGUAGCAGGAGUACCAAAGCGUGUGUGGCAUCAGUUUUGUUUUUUACGUUUUUUCUGAUGAACAGUCACACUAUAUAAAGCAUAUAUAAGUCAAAUGCAGUGGCUUAACUGACUGCCAUGAAUAAUUCAUUAAAGACCAUUGUGGAAUUCAGAGCAAAUCAAUUGUCACCACACGGCCCUCAACAUGGAGCCGGAUGAGAAAGUGUAUUUCUCUCGUUCUCAAUGGUUCCUUUAACAUCAUUUCACUCAAAUUGUAGGUUUAUUUGCCUCUGAAGAAGCAAUUAAAAACACAACAGCGGCGAUAAUGAGCAAAUCCACUCGCGUGUGAGCGAAAUGGAAAAUGGCAUUUGAAAUAGAAAGGCUGUGCUCAGUAUCCACACUCAGUCAUUCCCAGUUGUGAUCCACAUCUCCUGCAGAGACCACUUUACCAAGCAAUAACAUCUGCCACAUCUGUCAGGUAGUCUCCUUAUUCAGUCUACAUCUUCAUAUGUGUGAGCAGGCGCGCACACACACACACACACACACACACACACACACACACACACACACACAAACACACACACACACACAGCAGAUUUAAAAAGACAUGCAACAUCCUAGUUGGUUAAUCACACACACAAUAAACUGAGAACACCUUGGACAUGAAGAUUGAUCUGUUUAUUAUACAUACUCUUUAUUCAAUAUCCUCAAUAAUAUCCAUCAUUAGGCACCCUACACGGUAUGUAGGUAGACUGGGAGUAGAGACUUGGUCUGCAUGCCGGAUGGUUACAAAAAACACAAAUCGACACAUGCUGUCAACAUGGGGGGGGGAAACAAAAAAACCUUCUGUCUGCAUUGUGUGUUGAUUAUUUAUACUUGUGAAACUGAUAAUUUAUUGAGAAAUAUGCAGGGAUACCAUGCAGAAAUGUGUGUGUGUGUGUGUGUGUGUGUGUGUGUGGGUGGGUGCUGUCAGCCUGUGAGAAAGUUCUUGUGCAAUAACGUUGUGUCAGUGCGGCGGUCCUUUGUGUAACCGUGUAACCAGCGCCUGGAAGUGCGUGCCAGACCUCACGGGUACAACGGGGCCGAGCCAGUGCAGGCAAGUCCUCGGACUACCUGCCAGAUGUGGAGCUGGUUAUACCUGGAUGGUUUUGGGAAUGCAAGUGUUAUAUGCAAAUGUAACCGGUUCGGACUGUAACCGAGCAAACUUGGAUAGUUUGACACUAAUAUUUCCCCAGAGCUUCUUCCCUUAUGGAGCCAACAUCAGGUGGCCAUUUAAUGGACGUUUGCCUUUUCAGACUUUUUUCACCACCUGAGGUAGCCGCUUGCUUUGGAAGAAGACUGUGUGUGUGUGUGUUACAGUACGUUAGACUGAGCCAACUGAAUUAUUAUGCUCAUUUAUUAGAUUCAUUAAGUGGUAUUGAACACAUAUUAUAACUCUUAGAAAUCAAAUAAGCCCAUUUUAUAAGUAAAAUUAUUUCUUUUGCUUGGAUGUUCUCAUGAACAUUUCAACAAAAACGCCUGAUUCAAAAAAACUGACCUGUGCAAAUGUCAAUGAGACAAAUGAGAUGCUACUCUGGUCAUUGGUGAGCUUUAAAGAUGCCGGUGUUGCCUUUGGCCGGAGUAAUGCAAACGGGUUCUAGUCUUAAUGCUACGCUGAUGGAUCACAUACUUCAAUGACAAUCACAUUGAAUAUUUUAAACAAUGUCAUCUUUAUUAAAUGGUUGUUUCAAACCAGCUCUCAAGCUCACCGACCUUUGGCGACUGCUAACCAUCUCUCCCAGUUCACAUGUUGACAGUGGAGGAAUUCCAGACUGAACGGGAGCUCAAGCCCCCCAACGCCCCCCCCCCCCCAACCGCCCCGUCCUCCGGUGGCCUUGACAGGCACGGACACGGCAUCUCUGCUCGACCGUGAAAUAGCCACUUGUGUUUUAGCCUGAACAACUCCAUUCCUAUGUGGCUGUCAGCGUGCACGCAC